UGUCCCCGGCCCGUGGACCACGACCCGCCACGCCCCCAACUGCGGGCCACGCCCCAUCCAGUGGCCCCGUCCAGACUCCGCCCACCUCAGGCCCUACCUCGUCAAGGCCCCGCCCCGUGCUUCCGUCCCUCUGCAGGUCCAGGAGAACAUGCUCUACGUUAUCACUGGUCCUAGACUGGGGACGAUGUGGAGACCCACAGACUGAAGCAGAGCUGUUCCAGCCACUUGCAGACCUCACAUACAGCCACCUGCACAUGUGGAGCUUGGUCUGGGAGGCUGCCUGCUCCCCCUUCGAGCCUGGGUGGCAUGUGUCCAGGUGCCACCCCUAAGCGGAAGAGCCUUUCCUGGGGUGGUGUGCAGAUGGCCACAAGGGAGGCAAGGUGGCCCAGGGAGGAAGAGAGAAGCCCAGGAGAAGCCAGCUCAGGAUACCUCUUGGACAUGGCAUGAGAGCGCGCUGUCUUUGGCAUGUUCCGCAGGAGAAAUCCAUCAGAGGAAGUGAGAGUGAAGGUGCUACAAAGCCACAAAACUAACCAGAAACCAAAGGUGUAAAUGAACACCAAGAUGGCAGCUCCAGGCACAUGUGUCAAAAUCAUCUUUCCCAAAUUGAGAUAGAAGGCAGGACUCAACUCUGGACCAGACUGAAGACUAGCUAAAACAGUGAAGAGGGGAAUGCACCUCUCCAUAAGACAUGCCCAGAGGGCCAUGUCAGUUUACCAUUGCCAUGGCAACACCCAGAACUUACCGCCCCUUUCCACGGCGACAACCAGUAAGUACCACCCUUUUUCUAGAAAAUUCUGAAUAACUCACCUCUUAAUUUGCAGGUAAUCAAAAGUGGGUAUAAAUCUUACUGCAGGGCUUCCUCUGAGCUGCUACUCUCAGCACACUGCCCACAGGGUAGCCCUGGUCUGCAUGAGGAGUCAUGGAGUGUAACAUUACUGCUUCCAUAAGCUGUUUUCUUCUACC
rnacentral:lncRNA from 1 species